rnacentral:tRNA from 1 species
GCAGUGAUGGUUCAGUGGUAGAACUCUCCCCUUUCAUGCAGAAGACCAGGUUUGAUUCCUAGUCAAUGCA